GUAUCUUUGAUGGAGACGUUACCUGCUGCCAUGGGGCACUCUGGCUGCUUCUGGAGACGCCGGCACAUGGAGGACAGAAAUGAUCCACGUGGCUGCUGGCUGCUUCCAUGAAGAGGCUCCUUCUCCUUCCAGCAUCUCAGAUUUCCAAAUGCCGAGGUUGGGGGAGUGAAUUUGAGGGGUGACAGUAUCUUCUCCAAAAUCUUCUUCCACAGUAAACACUGCUAACUACCAACUCAUAAAACAUAUCAACUGAGUUUAUUACUUUUAACCAUCUUUCCAAU
rnacentral:lncRNA from 1 species